rnacentral:rRNA from 1 species
UGAAUUGCCGGGCGGGGCGCUGCGGUAAUACGGAAGGUCCGGGGGGUAUCCGGAGUUAUUGGGUUUAAAGGGGGCGCAGGCCGGAAGCAAAGCGUGCCGUGAAAUGUAGAUGCUCAACAUCUGAAUUGCGGCGCGAACUGGUUUUCUUGAGUGCAUACGAGGUAGGCGGAAUUUGUGGUGUAGCGGUGAAAUGCUUAGAUAUCACGAAGAACUCCGAUUGCGAAGGCAGCCUACCAGGAUGUAACUGACGCUAAAGCUCGAAAGUGCGGGUAUCGAACAGGAUUAGAUACCCGAGUAGUU